AUCAACCCAGCAUUGCCUGCUUGGCUGCUUCAGCUCCCUUCUUCAUUGUUUCCUCACCUUCCUUGGCUGAUUUCUUUAAAUUCAUAUGUAGCAAUUUUCUAUGGUACAUUCUGCUGAAAAAACUAUUAGUUCUUGUUACAUCUCAAAAAUCAGAUAUCAG